rnacentral:rRNA from 1 species
UGACGGUACCACUUGAAUAAGCUCCGGCUAACUACGUGCCAGCAGCCGCGGUAAUACGUAGGGAGCAAGCGUUAUCCGGAUUUACUGGGUGUAAAGGGCGUGUAGGCGGGACUACAAGUCAGAUGUGAAAGCACGGGGCUCAACUCCGUGUCUGCAUUUGAAACUGCAGUUCUUGAGUGCUGGAGAGGCUAACGGAAUUCCUAGUGUAGCGGUGAAAUGUGUAGAUAUUAGGAGGAACACCAGUGGCGAAGGCGGUUAGCUGGACAGUAACUGACGCUGAGGCGCGAAAGCGUGGGUAGCAAACAGGAUUAGAUACCCUG